UACGUAGGGGGCGAGCGUUGUCCGGAUUUAUUGGGCGUAAAGAGCUCGUAGGCGGUUGGGCAAGUCACGUGUGAAAUCUCCACGCUCAACGUGGAGGCGCCACGUGAGACUGCCCUGACUCGAGUCCGGUAGGGGAGUGUGGAAUUCCCGGUGUAGCGGUGAAAUGCGCAGAGAUCGGGAGGAACACCCGUAGCGAAGGCGGCACUCUGGGCCGGUACUGACGCUGAGGAGCGAAAGCGUGGGGAGCAAA
rnacentral:rRNA from 1 species